GCGAAGUAGUCUGAUUCUUGCGAACGUCUCACGGACAGUUCCCUUGUGGAAACACACUAUGCAAUGAACAAGGUGAAAGUAGCAGAUGGAAUAUAUUUGGAUUUCCAAGAAACAUUUGAAAAUAUGCUGCUCAAGAUGCUGCCGGACCUGCUGAGUGUCUCCAGCAUUCUCUGUUUUUGAUUCGGAUUUCCAGCAUCUGCUGUUUUUUUAAUGCCCCAGAUCACCUCACAAGUUCAAG